UGAACGCUGGCGGCGUGCCUAAUACAUGCACGUCGAGCGACCAGAUGAGGAGCUUGCUCCUCUGACGUUAGCGGCGGACGGGUGAGUAACACGUGGAUAACCUACCUAUAAGACUGGGAUAACUUCGGGAAACCGGAGCUAAUACCGGAUAAUAUAUUGAACCGCAUGGUUCAAUAGUGAAAGACGGUUUUGCUGUCACUUAUAGAUGGAUCCGCGCCGCAUUAGCUAGUUGGUAAGGUAACGGCUUACCAAGGCGACGAUGCGUAGCCGACCUGAGAGGGUGAUCGGCCACACUGGAACUGAGACACGGUCCAGACUCCUACGGGAGGCAGCAGUAGGGAAUCUUCCGCAAUGGGCGAAAGCCUGACGGAGCAACGCCGCGUGAGUGAUGAAGGUCUUCGGAUCGUAAAACUCUGUUAUUAGGGAAGAACAAAUGUGUAAGUAACUAUGCACGUCUUGACGGUACCUAAUCAGAAAGCCACGGCUAACUACGUG
rnacentral:rRNA from 1 species